UACAGAGGUCCCAAGCGUUGUUCGGAUUCAUUGGGCGUAAAGGGUGUGUAGGUGGCGCCGUAAGUCGGGUGUGAAAUCUCGGGGCUUAACUCCGAAACUGCAUUCGAUACUGCGGUGCUUGAGGACUGGAGAGGAGACUGGAAUUUACGGUGUAGCAGUGAAAUGCGUAGAGAUCGUAAGGAAGACCAGCGGCGAAGGCGGGUCUCUGGACAGUUCCUGACACUGAGGCACGAAGGCCAGGGGAGCAAACGGG
rnacentral:rRNA from 1 species